UGGAUGCCUUGGCUCUCAAAGUCUAUGAAGGACGUGAUAAGCUGCGAUAAGCUACGGGGAGGAGCAAAUAUCCCUCGAUCCGUAGAUUUCCGAAUGGGGAAACCCGAUAUCUUGAAGAGAUAUCAUCCGAAAGGAAGAUAACCCGGAGAACUGAAACAUCUAAGUACCCGGAGGAAAAGAAAACAAUUUAGUGAUUCCCUUAGUAGUGGCGAGCGAACAGGGAAUAGCCCAAACCAACUUUGUUAAGGCAAAGUCGGGGUUGUAGGACUGCAACAUUGACUGUAAAUUUAUAGUGGAAAUUUCUGGAAAGUUAUACCAUAGUGGGUGAUAGUCCCGUACACGAAAUAAAUUUACUACAUAGCAGUAUCCUGAGUACCGCGAGACAAGUGAAAUCUUGUGGGAAUCAACCGGUACCAUCCGGUAAGGCUAAAUACUAAUGAGAGACCGAUAGUGAACUAGUACUGUGAAGGAAAGGUGAAAAGAACCUCGAACAGAGGAGUGAAAUAGAACCUGAAACCAUACGCUUACAAGCGAUCGGAGCGGCUUCGUGCCGUGACGGUGUGCCUUUUGCAUAAUGAGCCUACGAGUUACUCCUCUCUGGCAAGGUUAAAGAUUUAAGAUCUGCAGCCGAAGCGAAAGCAAGUCUGAAUAGGGCGUAUAGUCAGAGGGGGUAGACGCGAAACCUUGUGAUCUACCCAUGACCAGGUUGAAGGAAGGGUAACACCUUCUGGAGGACCGAACCGAUAAGCGUUGAAAAGCUUCCGGAUGAGUUGUGGGUAGGGGUGAAAGGCUAAUCAAACUGG
rnacentral:rRNA from 1 species